AUGGCGGAGGAACCGUCUGCCAAGCGUCCCCGUGGUGAGACGUCUGACCAGAGCACUGAGGUUGACGACGUUCAGGUCCCCGGUCAGAAGCACGACUACAAAGUGCACCUCAAGGAGGUUGGCAUCCACAACAAGGAAAAGCUGGAUGUCGUAUGCACCAGCAAUCCUGACGAAGCCGACAAGAUGAUCAGCAGGAUCCUGAAGAGGGUCUGUGGCUUGUACCCUUAG
rnacentral:rRNA from 1 species